UACGUAGGGUGCAAGCGUUAAUCGGAAUUACUGGGCGUAAAGCGUGCGCAGGCGGUUGUGCAAGACAGAUGUGAAAUCCCCGGGCUUAACCUGGGAACUGCAUUUGAGACUGUACGGCUAGAGUGUGUCAGAGGGGGGUAGAAUUCCACGUGUAGCAGUGAAAUGCGUAGAUAUGUGGAGGAAUACCGAUGGCGAAGGCAGCCCCCUGGGAUAACACUGACGCUCAUGCACGAAAGCGUGGGGAGCAAACAGG
rnacentral:rRNA from 1 species